rnacentral:rRNA from 1 species
CCUACGGGGGGCUGCAGUCGAGGAUCUUCGGCAAUGGGCGCAAGCCUGACCGAGCGAUGCCGCGUGGGCGAUGAAGGCCUUCGGGUUGUAAAGCCCUGUCGAGAGGGAGAAAUGCGAAAGCUUGAUCUAUCUCUGGAGGAAGGACGGGCUAAGUUCGUGCCAGCAGCCGCGGUAAGACGAACCGUCCAAACGUUGUUCGGAAUCACUGGGCUUAAAGGGAGCGUAGGCGGGCUGCCAAGUCCGGGGUGAAAUCCUCCAGCUUAACUGGAGAACUG